rnacentral:lncRNA from 1 species
CCCCUCCCUUACUAUGUUUUCCAAACAACAAACCUGUAACUUGUGUGUUUCAAUGUCCACAGUAUUCAAAAAACAUUUUUUGCAUGCUUCCUAUAAAGGAACGCAAGGUUUUUUCUACCCUCGCAAGUCAGAGUGCAUUACAGAGAUUUGCCUAUUGGGGUUUACUGAACUUGCCCAAAAUAACUGCCAUAAGUUGUUGACGGUUUUUGCUCUCGAUAAAUCAAACUGAAGAACCAACCUAAUACAAGGACUCAAGGAGGGGUUGCAUGCAUAACAUCCAAGUUGCAUGCAUAACACUGAUGCCUUUUGUGUUUCCUUGUUGCAGGGAUCAGGGCAUAGUGGCACACCCCCAAGUUGUCCAGAUAGAGAGGUGGCGCACGGAAGGUUCAAGUGCUGAUGGGUUGGGUGGAUGGAUCCUGCAGAAGAUGGAGGAGGGAGGGGUUGAUGGGGAAGAAAGGGUGGAGGAGGAGCGGGGAAGGGAGAAAAGUCUCCAGAGGUUUUGUGUUGUGUGUUCACACACACUGGGUUGCGUCGGUUACGAUUGGGAGAAAAGGGAAUCUGGCCAUGUGCACGAUCAGAUCGUUUCUUUCCUUUUUUGACGCCAGCUGGCAACAAGAGAGGGUCAACUAAUUUGUUUGUAAUACGAUGAUUCUCCUGCGCAUUCAGUGGUCACUGAUGGUUGGAGUGAUGCGCCUAUGGAAUGGUUGGGGGGGUCCAGAUCCUAGUGCUUGUUAGCUUCGUGCUGCAAGUGUUCCUGCUCAUGCUCGCCGGGAUGCGACGGCGGAACAUCUCCAUUGUCCCAAGGAACCUCCUCUGGCUAGCAUACCUGCUGGCAGACUACAUAGCGGUAUACAUCCUUGGCCACAUGACCUUCUUCGGCAAGUCGCACGUACACCAACAGCUCAUGGCGUUCUGGGUGUUAGACUUUGUAACGUAGCCUAACUGUGUAAUUUAUAUAUUGUGUAACCUUAUAAAUAUAUGUGAUAUGCCACCUCUAGAGGGUUGAGCCAGUUUCCAUAAAUCCUAUGUUUAACAUGAUAUCAGCCUAAACCUAGAACCUACUCCACCUCCACCUCAGCCGCCGCCGUCGUGCCCCCAACCCUAGGGCCGCCGUCGCCGCCGCUGCCAUGACCGCUUCCGCCUCCGGUUCCGCCAGCUCCGGGGUCAUCCCCGCGAUGCUGGCCGCCCUUCUCAAUCUUCCUGCCCACGCUGGUGCGUCGCCGCGACCCCAAGUCUUCGGCACCACCGCCAUUGGUUCGUUGUCCUCGGCUCCGAUCCCGCCGUCUCCCGCGCCGUCGACGGUGGCGUCCUCCACCGCCGCGAUGAUGGUGCCACCUGCGGCCACUGCUGGCUCAUCCCCGACACUCGCCAUCAUGCCGGCGGCCUCGGGGGCCUCCACUGAUCAGCCCGCGGGUGUGGCACCCGAAGCCCCUGCGGUCUCCGCUGUUGCUACCACCGACGCCGCCAUGAUCUCCGGACCGUUCCACUUCGACAAUCUAAUCAUGACUCAUCUCACGCCGGACAACUAUUUGUUUUGGCGCGCCAAGGUUCUACCAUCUAGGUUAUCCUUCGAUUUUCUUCGUUUAACUAGCCACACAACUCUUCACUUCUUUAUUUAGUCCAUGAUCAGUGAAAUUUGGGAACCAUUUUUUAAUUUGAGAAUAGUUUCUAUAUUUGCACAUUUUGUAAAAUUUCUGAAUAUUUUUUUGUUAACAAAAAAUUAGGUUUAUAAUUUUUUAAACAAAUUCACAACAUUUCUAAAUUUUGUAAUUUUUUGAGAUCUGGUAAAAAAAUCAAAUUCAUGAACAUUUCUUUAAAUCCAAAAAUAUUUUUAAAGUUUGCAAUAUUUUCUAAAAUUAAUGUUUUUUUAGAUUUAUGAUUUUUUUAAAUCCCAGAAAUAAAAUUAAUAAAAGGAAAUAAAAAGGAGAAAAUAACCAGGGGCCUAAAGAGUGCGUGCAAGGGGUGGGGCGGUGUACACGUUUGAGUGACUCGCAGCACAUCUUACCUGGAAGUAGGGCUGUCCACAGUGCUUCCCCAAAUGGGCCAGGCCUUGUACGAUCUUUUCCUUUUACUUUUUUUCGUCUUGGCAAAAUACACAAAUAUUUUUAAUGGGGCAUAUGGAUUAUUUGGUUAACAAGUGAACAUUCUUAUUCAAAAUGAGCAUCUUUUUGAGAUAUACAAAUAUUUUUUUAAUAUACACAAUAUUUUUUUUAUAACACACUUUCUUAAAAGUGCUCCCUCUGUAAAGAAAGAUUUUUUUUAACAAGUGAACAUUCUUAUAUAUCUUUACAGAGGGGCACAAGUAUUGAUUUUCGUAUGGGUGAACAAUUCCUCUUGGAAUAAUCAAAACCUGUUUUCCACGCAUUUGUUUUAAAAAACAUACACGAGUGACGAGUCAAAUAAGUGUGGACAUUGUUUGCACUCCUUUUUUGUUGAAAAAUGUACUCCCUCCGUUUCAAAAUAAAUAAACUUGCUAAUAGUAAAACUGUUAACAACCUGCUAAUAAAGACACACGGAUAAACCUGCUAAUGGUAAACUCGAGGAAGCAGGAGACAUUUGUAAGGUCAUGCCCUCCGAUGACAGCCCAACCACUCAUCACAAGCUGUGAAUCUCAACCAAACUAUAAAUAGAUUUUGUAAGGGGUAGCUAGAGCAUCCACAGUGUACGAUUUAGCCGCCUCUAUCGCUGCUUCUAUGCUCUUUGGCGCUGGCGCUAUACACUACGUGUUCUGCCUCUAAGCUAAAAUUCACUAGCGUGGUCGCUAUGCUUGGAGGCAGCCUCCAGCGAUCAAAAAAUAUAAACGGAUCUACUCCCUUCGUUCGGAAUUACUUGUUUCAGAUAUGAAUGUAUAUAGAACUAAAAUACAUCUAGAUGCAUCCAUUUAUGCGACAAGUAAUUCCGAACGGAGGGAGUAUAUACCAGUGUAUUGCUGUAAAAAAUGUUCUAUGACAAGUGCAUGGAAAGAUUGAAAUCAGCUGGGAUAUUUGAAAUUGUUUAUUUCAUAUGGGACCCAUCUUUAGAGGCAAGGACGGAUGCUACACACCCUGAGGUCUUUGUACAUGCUUGGGGUUGGGGUGUAGGGCCCACCUUAGAGGCAAGUCUGCCUCUACACAUUGGUGAUGCUCUUAGUAAGCAAAACUACUGCUCCCUCCGUCUUAUAAUGUAGGACAUUUUCUGACACUAGUGUAGUGUAAAAAAAGUCUUACAUUAUGGGACGGCGGGAAUAGAAAAUAAUUAGCAUACUUCGCAUACUGUCAAUGCAAAACUACUGCUCCCUCCGUCUUAUAAUGUAGGACGUUUUCUGACACUAAUGUAGUGUGGAAAAAAUCUUACAUUAUGGAAUGGCGGGAAUAGAAAAUAAAUAGCAUACUUCACAGACUGCCAAUGCAAAACUACUAACCAAUAAAUAGCAUAUUUCUAAGACAUCAAAAAUCACGUCUUUGUAAAAAAAACUCCACACAAAGAUAUAAAAUUGGACAUCACGUAAAAAUCGAUCCACCAAUGACCAAGAAAAACUAGAAAAGAAGUUAUCUAGGUUAUCCUUCGAUUUUUUUUUCGUUUAACUAGCCACGCAACUCUUCACUUCUUUAUUUAGUCCAUGAUCAGUGAAAAUGACAAAUCUUUAGGGGAAAAAAGGAGCACCUGCAGCCUCCACCUUUCUCCUCCCACCGCAGUUCCGCCUCUACCAAUACCGUGCGCCGUCACCUCGCCCGCCGUCACCCAUGCCAUGUGGUCUCUGCCGCCCCUGCUCGCUCCCCCACUCCCUUCUCUACCCCGUCGCCCGCCCUACCCCUUUACUGCGGCAGGGGCAUGGCCGGAUCCUUGGCCGGCGAGUCGGAGGUGCCGAAGCCCUUGGCCAGGGAGCGUUUGUUUACUGGAUCUGUCCGGCGGGACAUGGUAGCGCGGGAUAUCUUCAACCGUUUUGGAUGACGGUCAUGUAAUAGGAUAGGCGAUUAGUUUACAUAUCUUUGUUUUGCCAGCCGGUGGUGGCUUUGGGGCAUUUUGUUUUUGACGUUGUGGCUCUUUGUGAGGUUGCCGUUUUUCUGUUUUCAGACUAUAAGACCUUGUUGAACCUCUUUAUUUAUCUAUAAAUGUAGCCGUAUGCAUCGUUUCGAUGCAGAGACCGAGGAGUACUCCUUUUCGAAAAAAAAAGCAGGCAGCAUCAGCCGAUGGGGCUCACCGCGUCCACGUUUCUACCGGCGACCGGAGGAGAUGAGUCCGCAAGGAAGGUAUAAGCUGGGCCCUGCCAACUCGAUUGUGUUGUGAUGCUGCAAUCUACCCUGCUUCUUCUUUUUCAGGGGAAUAGUAAUAUUGUACCUUUGUUUUUUGUUCCAAACUAAAAAUCAUGCCUUGCUUCGAGCAGGACGGAUUCUUGGAUUCUUGUCUUUCCAAGCUUCUGCACCAGCAAAAGAAGAGAUUUUUUUUAAUGAAAUCAUCCAAAGCGCAAUGUUCAGUACUGUGCAGUUUUUGCUAGCGAGUAGUUUAUCUUCUCAUCGAGCUUUACUACUCCCUCUGUUCACUUUUAUAAGACCUUGAAGACAUUUCAGACAAUGUGCAAAACAGUCUAUUUUGAGCUGUCUGAAAGGACUUACAAAAGUGAACGGAGGGAGUACUACUUUGCUUGGCAGAGGGUAAAGCAAGGCCGGACGGUGCCUUCUCCAUCCAAGAGGAAAAGCUUACAAGAGACUAAUGGGCUGGGCAGGAAAGACGGUUCUUCAGCAGCCUUCGAUAUAUAGAUAUAAUGGUCCUGGGGGACAAGUGACUAGUUGGCUGAUCAACCAUAAUACCCAAAUCAACUAGUGCUGCAUCUUUGUCUCAUGGAUACUUAGCGAGCUAAUUAGGAUUAGGAGUCCUGCUGCUGUUCUGCGACAAACCUCCCUCCCUCGUGCCUUCUUCUGCCAUCGAGGUGAAUCUCUUUUACAUGUCUUAAGAUCUAGAUUAACUGCAAAUUAGGUGCUCUACAAAACAGCAAACUGUACAUGUUCCCUUGUCUUGGAUAAACAAUGUGCUGAAAUUUACUACUAGUACCGUUUUCUCUGCAUCUCUGCAAAUAAUGCAAAAAUUGUAGGGUGUGGCUCAUAUCUUCCUGAAAUUUCGUCUUGGGGAAAUGUAUUAUAAGUUGCGCCCUUAUCUGUACGAAAUAUUUGGUUCAAGCGUUGUAGGAGAAUUAUUACUAGCUCAGCACUUCACUCGAGCACAAGUGACUUGCAAGAUUAGUUAGUUCUUUGUUCCUAAGAAAUACGUAGUAGGUUCUAGUGAUAUGGCACUCGCCCAAGUGUCGUCAUUUCCACCUACCUUUAAUAGAAAUUUGAAAUAUCAAAAAGAAAUUGUCUAGAUCAUUUGUUUGGCAGGUCAAGAUUGAAAUAGUGCUACUAGGUUGGUCUAGAUCUCUAUGUUAUCAUAGAAUUAUUACAAGUAUAUAAGAAAUACAAUAUAUAUUUGGAAAUGAAUUUCAUAAACUCCCUUAUGACUUUUGAGUACCCUCUCUAGUCUCUACUAAUUAAAAGAUGUUCCACUGUGAGCUACAUAAAGAAGUUUUUUUUUUUUUGCGAAUUUACAUAAAGAAGUUACAUGUGAGCCAAUAGUUCUUAGUAUGUUCUGGUUAUGUUCUCAUGCUUGCACUACAUGUACAUUGCAUUAGUAUAUGCAAAAUUUAAUAGUUUAAUUCGACUGUCAUGGUGGCUGUAAUAUUGUCUCUGUGGUUUCGUGUGUACUUCUUCUGAAGGAAAUAUAUGUAUGUACUUCAACUAAUUUGUUUGUAAUAUGAUGAUUCUCAUGUGCAUUCAGUGGUCACUGAUGGCUGGAGUGAUGCGCCUAUGGAAUGGUUGGGGGGUCCAGAUCCUAGUGCUUGUUAGCUUCAUGCUGCAAGUGUUCCUGCUCAUGUUCGCCGGGAUGCGACGGCGGAACAUCUCCAUUGUCCCAAUGAAUCUCCUCUGGCUAGCAUACCUGCUGGCAGACUACAUAGCGGUAUACAUCCUUGGCCAC